CCACUGUAUGCUGCGGGAUCUUGAGGUGCUUGGUAUGCAGCAUACCCAGCCGCUGUGUUUGCAGCAGCCUGCUCCGAAUAACCCUGCUGAGAGGUUGGAUACUGACCGUAUGCUGCAGCAGGAGCUACUUGUUGGCCAUAAGCAGACGGUUGCUGCACACUAGGCUGACCAUAGCCAGCUUGGGCACCCUGCUGCGAGUAACCAGCAGCAGCAGAAGCAGCUGGUGCCUGAUUGUAACCAUCUGUGCUUGGUGCAGCGCCGUAAGGAGGAUACUGCUGGGUAGAACCACCAGAUUGGUAUGGAUAAGUCUGUUGAGGUUGCAUAUUUUGUCCAUAUGUAGCUGGGGCAGAACCUCCUUGAUAAGGCUCUGCAGGCUGACCAACCCUAGGAGCGCCAUAAGAUUGGGGAGGUGGUCCUUGUUGCGAAACACCAUAUGAUGAAGGCUUAUUAUCAUACUGUUGUCCA
rnacentral:lncRNA from 1 species